rnacentral:sRNA from 1 species
CUCCGGGCACCGGCGAGGAGGCUGGGGACGGGGGACGGGAAUUCCCCCAGGGGCCAGGCCUUGACUGCCCUGCAGGGCCCUCGCUGUCGCUUUUUUCCCUCACAAUGUCUCAUCCCUCAACCUCUGUUUUCCAUCCAAAGGCAUCUCUGUGAAUCCACCUGGCGCGGGAGCGGCGCUGAUGCCACAAAUGCGGGCCAGACUGCUGGGCAGAGCUCACCAGUCAACAGGGCUGGGUGUGGCUGAGGCAGCCCUGAGACCCCAGGUCCUGCCGCUGCGGCUCCCGCUUCCCGGCCCCUCUUCUCUGUGGGACGGAAAGUCUCUCCUGGGGAAGGCUCGGAGCUGAGCUGAUGGGUGUUUGAAGUUUCUCCACACACAGGGUCCCCUGGCAUCUCCCUCUGUCAUUUGGUGGCCAAGUGACAUUUCCCAGCAGCCCUACUGCAGAUGCCGUAUGUUCUCGGGGUGACUCAGGUGGCCUGGGCCCUUCUGGUAGCCGCUUAUCCAGCCUGACCCCAGGCUCCAGCGAGGCUGCUCCGGAUCGGGGCUGCUCUGCCCAGGUGAAGGGCGGGUGUGGGAGGUUUCCGUAGAGGCCGCUCUCCCCUGCUACCCCGGCCCCGUGUGGGACCCUGGGUCUGUCUGACAGACAGAGGCUUCCUGAGCCAGGCCCUUGGGAUGACGGGUAGGAAUCUAGGGUGGAUCCACAGGAAUUAGAGAUUUUAUCAGUUUUGUUUUCCAAAUGAAGUCAACAGCCCCCUAGCAGCGUGAUGCUGAUGGUCCUGUCCCCUAUGGCCCCCAUCCUGGAGGCACCCUGGUGUGGGCUGUGGGCCUGGGGGUCCUUGGCACUGUCCAGUAUGCGGACGUGCUAGCAGCCCACAUUUCCCCCAGUGACCACCAGGCUGUGCCCUGGACAUGGCCGUCUGAGCACGUCGUGUCCUGGGGCCCCGUCUGGUGGUCAGGCUCAGUGCGAGCCCAUCAGGGGUACUCUGCCCGUCUGGGAAGACAGUGUGGCUUCUGGGGGCUCCUCCAGGGAGGCUCUGGACCAGGCUGCAGAGGAUGCCAACCUGCCACAGGCUGGCCUGGCCGCUCAUGGACAUGGCGGCUCCUGGCCCAGGGUAUCUCCCCUGGGAACCCAGGCGUGCUCGCGGCCCUCUGGAAUGCAGGCGCUGGGGCUGUGGGGGGCCGCCUGGCGCCUGGCAUCUUGUUAUAAAAAGCUCUGGCGCAGGCUGCUCUCAGUGGCUGCAGGAUGGUUGUGGCUUUGGAAGGGCAGCCCCCAGGGGCCUUGGUCAGCCACCUGUGGGCCCCACUGCCGAGCCGUGGUCAGCCCUCACUGGCUGCCCUGCCAUGACGCUGCUGAGGCCAGUGCAGCUCCUGCCAGACUCCCGUGACAAGUCAUAACAGAGCCACAUGCCGGGUGGCUGCAGGGCCCUGUCGCCCACAGCAGUCGAGGUCUCAGGUGUGUCUGGAGGGCAGCCCUGGAGACACCUGGGACAGGCGUACCUCUGGCAGGCGCACCCUGGCUGUCACCCAGUGUGGGCAUGGUGGGGUUGCUGGAAUGCUGUGUAGGGCAGGAGGCAGCAGCCCGUGGCUGGGUGGGAGACUGCAGGGUAGACGGGAUGGGACCAGGAGGGUUGUUCCCAGGGACUGCCAAGCCAUCCCCAGGUGUCAAGAGUGUGAGGUAGGAGUGGGAGCCCAGAGCCGGCUCCAGGCCACCCCAACUCCCGACAGCUCUCGGCUGUUCUGUGUGAGGGGGGACGGGGCCGAGUGUGGGUCGGCGCAGUGCUGAGGUGUCUCACGUACCCCAGCACUGUGCUGAAUGCAUUGAAAUCACUGCCCAGGGCUCCGCGAGCUGCACGGCCCGGCUUUGUCAAUUUCAUUGCUGUUGAUGCCAAUUAGGGGUGACGCUGUCCCUCCCGCAUCCCAGGGUGGGCAGAGGGAGGGGCCGGCUUGUUCCCUGGGGGCAGGCGUGCAUGGAGUCAGCCUGGCCAUGGAGCUGUGGCCAAGAGGGCAGCGGGGGCAGCUGGACUGGGGUUUUUGCCGACGCUCUAAUUUGGCGGCUGUCGCCACCCCUCCCCCCCCACGGAGACCCUGACGUGGCCUGAGCCAGACUCCAGGGGCCAUGUGCCCUGCUGGGGAGCAGGGGCUCAGCAUCAGGUCUGGUGCACUGACUGGGAGAGGGGGGUCUCCAGCCCUGGACAGGCCCUGAGUGGGGUGGGGUCCCCCAGCUGCUGUGCCCAGCCCUGCCCCCAGGACCUGGCCUUGGCCCUGCGCUGGCCGGGGCCAGGGAGGGAGUGGGCCCAGCUCCCAAGUCUGUGUGACCACCUCGGCUGGGGCACUGACAGCCCGGGGUGCGGAGGGCCCAGCCCAUGACACCCGCCGUCAGCCGCGCCCUCUGCCUCCAGCCCGUGGACCGGGAGCCGGUGGUGUGCCACCCCGACCUGGAGGAGCGGCUGCAGGCCUGGCCAGCGGAGCUGCCUGAUGAGUUCUUUGAGCUGACGGUGGACGACGUGAGAAGACGCUUGGCCCAGCUCAAGAGUGAGCGGAAGCGCCUGGAAGAAGCCCCCUUGGUGACCAAGGCCUUCAGGGAGGCGCAGAUAAAGGAGAAGCUGGAGCGAGGUGGCUCUGAGGGUCCUGUUCCCCGACCGCUACGUCCUACAGGGCUGCUUCCGCCCCAGCGAGACAGUGGGGGACUUGCGAGACUUCGUGAGGAGCCACCUGGGGAACCCCGAGCUGUCAUUUUACCUGUUCGUCACCCCUCCAAAAACAGUCCUGGAUGACCACACGCAGACCCUCUUUCAGGCGAACCUCUUCCCGGCCGCUCUGGUGCACUUCGGAGCCGAGGAGCCGGCAGGUGUCUACCUGGAGCCUGGCCUGCUGGAGCAUGCCAUCUCCCCAUCUGCGGCCGACGUGCUGGUGGCCAGGUAAGUGCCGGUGGGUCUGGGGGCACCUCCCGUGGCGGCACUCACCACUCUGUGUCUUCGCCUCCCCACAGGUACAUGUCCAGGGCCGCCGGGUCCCCUUCCCCAUUGCCAGCCCCUGACCCUGCACCUAAGUCUGAGCCAGCUGCUGAGGAGGGGGCGCUGGUCCCCCCUGAGCCCAUCCCAGGGACGGCCCAGCCCGUGAAGAGGAGCCUGGGCAAGGUGCCCAAGUGGCUGAAGCUGCCGGCCAGCAAGAGGUGAGAGCUGCCAGCCUGAGGUGCCCACUCCGCCAGCCACAGGACCACCUCCUCUGCCAGCAGGAAUAAAGACUUGUGCAUCCCUC